UUUCAGACCGGGGGUUUGAAUUAGGCACAACACCUGUUCGGUCUUUAUGAAUGCUUUUUUACUCACUGGACUGAUCCUUUUGUCUACAGCAACUAAAGGUAUCCAUGAUCCUUUACGAGAUCUUCUGAGCUGUCUUCAUCUAUGCUGGAACAAACAACAUCAGGCUGAGGCAAAUGGAGAUCCAGAAAGCUUCUGGCUGAGACGAUAUGCAGCACAUCAUCCACGAUGAGCAGCAUAGUGUCAGGACCGUUUCCCACAUAACAGCAAGGAAUUGAGUGCUUCAGUAGACUUUUUCCUCAAAAUAAAUAGCUACAGUCAUGGUGUCAAGAAUACAAACUACCCUUUGUUGAUAACUGGAAUUAUUUCUGGGAGUGUCCUAGGUUUUUUGGCCCUGAUGGCCUGCACCUUCGCAGAAUUUUAGCGGGAUUCCAAUCAGACAACAUUUCCAGGAUGCUGCACUCCAUCUGACUGGCAUCUUGAGGUUGUGCCAGCUCCAGUCGUGUCCCAACUCAUGAAGCUUAUGGACCUUUAAAGAAGUAGAUGCCGAGCUCGCAAACACCCUGAACCAUCUACAGACGUACCAGCGGCAUUUGGAUUUCACAUGUAGUGUUUGGAGAUUGGACCUCUUUGAGUGUUUGAAGGCAUAGAGAAGCUGGUGUUGGAUCUACGAUGAUCUCAAAUGUUGGGCUUUUUUAUGGGUUGCUCAGUAGCUCCUGGUUCCAUUCCCUCGACUGACUGUAAAAGACUGUAGAAAGGACAUUAAUCACAAUCUCACAUUCCGGUGCUAAUGUUAGUUUUACUCCUUGAUGUUUUGUAUUGUUUUAAGAUUUAUAAUCACACUCUUGAUAUCACGUAAACUAGGAUGGGUUCCCCUUUUGAGUCUGGUUCCUCUCAAGGUUUCUUCCUCAUAACAUCUAAGGGAG